AGAGGAACAUCUGGUGUGACUGUGCUCUGCUUUUGAAUAUACACUAUCUUUAGCAGCUAUGGGCAAUGAAACAAAGGAAUAAAUCGAAAAUAUGUUAGAAAGAAGAUUGUCUCCUUAUGGAAGAUGGUUAAUAUCCAUUUGAAAACUGGGAAUGAGGUGUUAUCCUGUCCAGUUUUUACCCAUACACCGUUACUCCUACGCCUAAGAGGUCUCUGCUCCAUGGUAGAGCUCAAGUCCUGGGAACAGCGUCGCAGCAGAGCACA